UUAACUCCAAAGCCAAGCAAAGCUCUAUAAUAUAGAAGUAAACAUCUUAUUUAACACAUAUUAUCACAGAUCUACUACAUAACAUGAAACAGUAAAAGAGUAGAGGAAAACUAAGUCGAAUAAGCUUGUAUUCCAUCAAAUUCCACUCGGAUUACAUAAUCAAUAUUCAGCCAGUGUUCAAGGACAUAGAGAUACCUAGAAAUGAACAUGAAUAAGAAAUGAAGGAUAAGUAGUAGCAAUAGCAGAAGCCAGUACCAGCAGAACGAAUUUCAAAUAAAAAAUGAUGUGCAGCAGUCCAAAAACCAGUUUUAACCAAGCAAUAACCACAACAAACUUCAAAACAAACUAUUAAAUACCAAAUUCAGUCCAUUUUUAACCCAGAUGGAUCAGAUUUUGUUUCAGAAAUUGAAAACUUCAAACAUCUCAGAAGAAGUUUCAAUGGAAUAGUGAUUUUAUAUGAAAUUUUUCAGAUGUUAUUUUAUUUUUUCUGAAUUUUAU
rnacentral:lncRNA from 1 species